UAACUGAGUGAGGCUCUGGGUCAACCUCCCACCCGUGUUUAUUGUACCUUGUUGCUUCGGUGCGCCCGCCUCACGGCCGCCGGGGGGCUUCUGCCCCCGGGUCCGCGCGCACCGGAGACACUAUUGAACUCUGUCUGAAGAUUGCAGUCUGAGCAUAAACUAAAUAAGUUAAAACUUUCAACAACGGAUCUCUUGGUUCCGGCAUCGAUGAAGAACGCAGCGAAAUGCGAUAACUAAUGUGAAUUGCAGAAUUCAGUGAAUCAUCGAGUCUUUGAACGCACAUUGCGCCCCCUGGUAUUCCGGGGGGCAUGCCUGUCCGAGCGUCAUUGCUGCCCUCAAGCACGGCUUGUGUGUUGGGCUCCGUCCCCCCGGGGACGGGUCCGAAAGGCAGCGGCGGCACCGAGUCCGGUCCUCGAGCGUAUGGGGCUUUGUCACCCGCUCUGUAGGCCCGGCCGGCGCCAGCCGACAACCAAUCAUCCUUUUUUCAGGUUGACCUCGGAUCAGGUAGGGAUACCCGCUGAACUUAAGCAUAUCAUAAAGCCGGGAGGAAUCAUUACUGAGUGAGGGCCCUCUGGGUCCACCUCCACCGUGUUUAUUGUACCUUGUUGCUUGGUGCGCCGACUCGGGCGCGGGGGGGGCUUCUGCCGGGUCCGCGCACGGAGACACUAUUGAACUCUGUCUGAAGAUAGCAGUCUGAGCAUAAACUAAAUAAGUUAAAACUUUCACACGGAUCUCUUGGUUCGGCUGGAUGAAGAACGCACGAAUGCGAUACUAAAGUGAAAUUGCAGAAAUCGUGAAUCAUCAGUCUUUUGAACGCAUUGCGCGGGCUAUUCGGUGGAGCAUGACUGUCAACAUCUUGCCUGACACGCGAGUGGGGUUGGGGAUGUGGUGUAC
rnacentral:rRNA from 1 species